rnacentral:rRNA from 1 species
ACUCCUACGGGAGGCAGCAGUGAGGAAUAUUGGUCAAUGGGCGCAAGCCUGAACCAGCCAUGCCGCGUGCAGGAAGACUGCCUUAUGGGUUGUAAACUGCUUUUUAUAUGGGAAGAAACCCCUCUACGUGUAGAGGCUUGACGGUACCAUAAGAAUAAGCACCGGCUAACUCCGGUGCCAGAGCCGCGGUAAUACGGAGGGUGCAAGCGUUAUCCGGAAUCAUUGGGUUUAAAGGGUCCGCAGGCGGUCAAUUAAGUCAGAGGUGAAAUCCUAUAGCUUAACUAUAGAACUGCCUUUGAUACUGGUUGACUUGAGUUAUACGGAAGUAGGUAGAAUGUGUAGUGUAGCGGUGAAAUGCAUAGAUAUUACACAGAAUACCGAUUGCGAAGGCAGCCUACUACGUAUAUACUGACGCUCAUGGACGAAAAGCGUGGGGAGCGAACAGGAUUAGAUACCCUGGUAGCUACGAGU